rnacentral:misc_RNA from 1 species
AAAGUGCGACAAGUGUCACGACUUGCAGAUUCCCGGGAGCUGACCAAUUUCUGAAUGCAACUUGCGGACCGACUUUCUGCCCUGUCGGCCAUGUGCUGCAGAGUGUUGUUGCUUUGUGCACUACAUCUUUCUCUCCUAUCACGAGAGAAAGGAUUCGGAGUUGACCACACAAGACUUGCUCUUUGGUGGCGGCCAGCUCUCAGAAUUGCGCAAGCCCGCGAUCAAAGACGGAGCCUGCCUUGCAGAGCGCGGGAGUGUGGCCUCAAAAAACCACACACACCGUUUCUACAUUUGGCAGAGCGCACCCAUUAAAAGAGUCUUUUCGCGAGUGCGACAAACCCUUCUUCUUGCUGACCUCUGCAGCAUAAGAAAACCCGCUGAACUUAA